UCUCUCUCUCUCUCUCUCUCUAUAUAUAUAUAUAUAUAUGUAUAUAACCAAACGAGAACGGUGUUUGUCGUUCCGUCUAUUCAGAGUCGGAAGAUAUUAUUAUUUCUCCACUACUCAUCGGAAAAGCUAGUAGUAAGGAUUUCGUCAGGAAGAUGCUGGAGUUUUUCCUGCUGGGGUGCACCGGAGUUGUGGUGUUCCUUCACGGAGCCAAUUUCUUCUUCCAUGCCCUGUCUUCUCAACUGGCCAUCCGCCAUAUCAGUUUCCUGGGAUUCACUGCUUGGUAGAAGAAGUCUCGAGUCUUUUCAUUGAGGCCUCAGGGGGAGAGAGGAGAGAAGCUUGCACGGAGACGGCACGCAAUUUGUAUAUAUGUGUAUUGUUAUUAUUAUUAUAGUAAUAAUCUGAUCGGGUAAAUGUUUUUUCUUUUCUUUUUUUUCUUUUUUAGAGGUGAUUUGGUAAAUGUAAAAACAUAAAGUUGAAUGCUCAACUUGGCCGCCACUAGAGGUAUUAUUCAUGAACAACUUGCGACUUUCGUAGUGGUCAUUCAAAACGCGGCUUUCCCAUCUGUACUUGUGUAAUAAUCAAGUGUUAUCAAAAUUUCCAA